rnacentral:tRNA from 1 species
GGUUUGUGACUCAGUGGUAGAGAGCUUGCCUAGCACGUGUGAGGAACUGGGUUCAAUUCUCAGCACCA